UACGGGGGGGGCAAGCGUUGUUCGGAAUUACUGGGCGUAAAGGGCGCGUAGGCGGCCUUCUAAGUCGAACGUGAAAUCCCCGGGCUCAACCCGGGAACUGCGUCCGAUACUGGAAGGCUUGAAUCCGGGAGAGGGAUGUGGAAUUCCAGGUGUAGCGGUGAAAUGCGUAGAUAUCUGGAGGAACACCGGUGGCGAAGGCGACAUCCUGGACCAUGACUGACGCUGAGGAGCGAAAGCCAGGGGAGCAAACGGG
rnacentral:rRNA from 1 species